rnacentral:rRNA from 1 species
AGUGAACGCUGGCGGUAGGCCUAACACAUGCAAGUCGAACGGCAGCACAGAGGAGCUUGCUCCUUGGGUGGCGAGUGGCGGACGGGUGAGGAAUACAUCGGAAUCUACUCUGUCGUGGGGGAUAACGUAGGGAAACUUAUACUAAUACCGCAUACGGCCUACGGGUGAAAGCAGGGGACCUUCGGGCCUUGCGCGAUUGAAUGAGCCGAUGUCGGAUUAGCUAGUUGGCGGGGGAAAGGCCCACCGAGGCGACGAUCCGUAGCUGGUCUGAGAGGAUGAUCAGCCACACUGGAACUGAGACACGGUCCAGGCUCCUACGGGAGGCAGCAGUGGGGAAUAUUGGACAAUGGGCGCAAGCCUGAUCCAGCCAUACCGCGUGAGUGAAGAAGGCCUUCGGGUUGUAAAGCCCUUUUGUUGGGAAAGAAAUCCAGCUGGCUAAUACCCGGUUGGGAUGACGGUACCCAAAGAAUAAGCACCGGCUAACUUCGUGCCAGCCGCCGCCGUAA